rnacentral:ncRNA from 2 species
AUUUAAUAUUUAGGUAAAGGUACAAAGAUUUAUAUUUCUUUGUUUAAAAGGGAAACAAGUAAAAGUCUUGUACGGUCCCGCCACUGUGAAGGUGAGAAUUUUAAAAUAUGCCACUGAGAAAUUGGGAAGGCUUAAAAUUCUAUGAACCUAAGUCAGGAUACCUGCCUUUGCUAAUGCACUAAA